rnacentral:rRNA from 1 species
ACGCUCGACACCUACGGGUGGCAGCAGUCGGGAAUAUUGCGCAAUGGAGGAAACUCUGACGCAGUGACGCCGCGUAUGGGAAGAAGGUUUUCGGAUUGUAAACCAUUUUAGACAAGGAAGAAACAAGACAGUACUUGUAGAAUAAGCUCCGGCUAACUACGUGCCAGCAGCCGCGGUAAUCUGAGGCGGGCUGGCAAGGC